rnacentral:rRNA from 1 species
UACGUAGGGUGCAAGCGUUAAUCGGAAUUACUGGGCGUAAAGCGUGCGCAGGCGGCUUUGCAAGACAGAUGUGAAAUCCCCGGGCUCAACCUGGGAACUGCAUUUGUGACUGCAUGGCUAGAGUGCGGCAGAGGGGGAUGGAAUUCCGCGUGUAGCAGUGAAAUGCGUAGAUAUGCGGAGGAACACCGAUGGCGAAGGCAAUCCCCCUGGGGCCUGCACUCGACACUCAUGCACGAAAAGCGUGGGGGAGCAAACAGG